rnacentral:rRNA from 1 species
AGGGUUUGAUCAUGGCUCAGAGUGAACGCUGGCGGCGUGCUUAACACAUGCAAGUCGAACGAGAAAGCACUUUCGGGUGUGAGUAGAGUGGCGAACGGGUGAGUAACACGUAGGUAACCUGCCUCUUUGUGGGGGAUAACCAAAAGAAAUUUUGGCUAAUACCGCAUAUUCUGGUAACAGUAAAGGAUGCUUUUCGGAGCAUUCGCAGAGAGAUGGGCCUGCGGGAGCAUUAGCUUGAUGGUAGGGUAAUGGCUUACCAUGGCUAUGAUGCCUAGCUGGUCUGAGAGGAUGAUCAGCCACACUGGAACUGAGACACGGUCCAGACUCCUACGGGAGGCAGCAGUGGGGAAUAUUGCGCAAUGGGGGAAACCCUGACGCAGCAACGCCGCGUGAGUGAGGAAUGCCUUAGGGUUGUAAAGCUCUGUCAGGUGGGAAGAAAAAGUAUUGAUCUAAUAGGUCUUUACUCUGACGGUACCAUCAAAGGAAGCACCGGCUAACUUCGUGCCAGCAGCCGCGGUAAUACGAAGGGUGCAAGCGUUACUCGGAUUUACUGGGCGUAAAGAGCGCGCAGGCGGACUUGUAAGUCAGAUGUGAAAUCUCGGGGCUCAACCUCGAAACUGCGUCUGAAACUAUUGGUCUAGAGUUUUUCAGAGGGAAGUGGAAUUUCGCAUGUAGGGGUAAAAUCCGUAGAGAUGCGAAGGAAGAUUAAAGGCGAAGGCAACUUCCUGGGGAACAACUGACGCUGAGGCGCGAAAGCGUGGGGAGCAAA